AGUGAACGCUGGCGGUAGGCCUAACACAUGCAAGUCGAACGGCAGCACAGUAAGAGCUUGCUCUUACGGGUGGCGAGUGGCGGACGGGUGAGGAAUACAUCGGAAUCUACUUUUUCGUGGGGGAUAACGUAGGGAAACUUACGCUAAUACCGCAUACGACCUACGGGUGAAAGCAGGGGAUCUUCGGACCUUGCGCGAUUGGAUGAGCCGAUGUCGGAUUAGCUAGUUGGCGGGGUAAAGGCCCACCAAGGCGACGAUCCGUAGCUGGUCUGAGAGGAUGAUCAGCCACACUGGAACUGAGACACGGUCCAGACUCCUACGGGAGGCAGCAGUGGGGAAUAUUGGACAAUGGGCGCAAGCCUGAUCCAGCCAUACCGCGUGGGUGAAGAAGGCCUUCGGGUUGUAAAGCCCUUUUGUUGGGAAAGAAAAGCAGCAGGUUAAUACCCCGCUGCUCUGACGGUACCCAAAGAAUAAGCACCGGCUAACUUCGUG
rnacentral:rRNA from 1 species